rnacentral:misc_RNA from 1 species
UCUCUCUCUCUCUCUCGUUGUAUCGUGUCCUACGGGUUUCACGGUUGAGCAGAUAAAAAAGGUACUCUCUCCUCCUCAUUUGGAUCCCCAAAUCUAGGGUUCUAUUAAAUCAGGUAAAAUUUUGCUUGCAAAUUCUUUAAAUCGGAUCUUUAUUUUUCUUAUUUAAGCUCCGAAAUUCAUUCUUUUCACUUAGCUGGGUAUUUUCACAGCCUAUUUAACGGAUUUUUUUCCUCCCAUUUUUAGUUUUCAUUUCCCUUUUUGGAAAUGUAGGCUUGGAUUUAGUUUUCUAGUGUAGUGAUUGGGGUUAUUUACCUUUGGUGUUUGUUUAGUUGAUUAAUUAAUGCUAGUAGAUUUGGAGUAAUGUUGGUCGGUUUUGAGCUAAAUUCUGUUUUUUAAACGCAAUAUUACUUGUGUGACCUUCAUCUUUAGAUUUCGUUUUUGGGUUUUAAGGCGUUUUUGAUUCCUGAAAAUUGGUGUUAAAGAAAGUAGAACUGUAAAUUUUUAAUCUUGCAUGCUGUUUGCAUGUUACUACUAUUGAUUAUUGAUUAAUGCGAAGGUAAUUGUGUUUUGCGUUCUGUGCUUGUUUAUUUGUUAUAAGUUUAUGCUUAAUGUGUGCUGGAAAUUGGUAACUGUGCUAUAAAAUUAUUUGGGUUCAAAUGGAAUGCAAAGCUGGCUUUAGUUCUGUUAAGAAAUAUGGUUUUAUCUGCUUUCUAAAUCCGUACAACUGUGUCAUUUUCACUGUUUGAGUUGUUGCUUCAUUUUUGUUGGGCCAACAGUGUUUUCAAGUAGAUUGGGUAGAAAUUCAAUAUUGGGGAAUUGGGGUUGUUAUUGGAUCUGAUAUAAGAUAUCAUAUUUGUCUGCUUUCAAAGGACGCAACAAGAAAUACUUUUCACUGGUUAUUUCUUCGGCAUUACUUUUCUGAAAUUUGGUUUCUAUUCAUUUUUACAAAAUUGACUUUUUUAUUUUUGGCUGGGAAUUCUGAAAUUUUAAAUUUUAGAUACCCAAACACCUUCCUCUUUUCCUGUUUAAAGGUGUGCUUCUUUGAUUGUUAGCUUGUUGUCUUGUAGUUAUGACUUUUCCUUUUCAAUGUUUUUCAAAAUAUACUCAGAGUUGCCUCAGUAUGGCUUGUCUUUUGUUCUGUUCUUAACAAUUCCUUUGUUUAUAUCAAAAUUUGAAUUUAUCAAGUAUAUGGAAUGAAGUAAUUAUAUUGAAGAUUGAACUUGUGUAACAAAUGGGAUUAAUUAAAUCUAUCAGAAAUAUCAUGCAUAAUAUACAGGUUGAACAUUUUAUUUGAUGAAAUUGCUUACGGAUGCUCUCCAGUUGAAAUCACUGCUGGUUUGAUUUAUUGUGUUUAAGCUUUAUCUUGUUAUGCACUUGAAUUGGACUUCAGCCAACAACUUUUACUGUUCUGAACUGAUUUUUACUUGUUUUUCUCUCUCUUAGUAGAUUUUAUUUUUAUGAAGAUUUAUCUUGCGUGACAUCUUGUUCGGAUUUACAAGAUGGACAGAAUGCAAAGCUU